rfam:uncultured archaeon A07HN63 genomic scaffold scf7180000020200, whole genome shotgun sequence.
GGGCUGAUAGCUCAGCUUGGCAGAGCGACGGACUCUUAAUCCGUCGGUCGCGUGUUCAAAUCGCGCUCAGCCCG